AUUGUUAUGGUGAAUCUUGGCACUGGGAGAAUUCACAGUUGUUAUUUUGAAUAUUCUGUGGAUCUUUUUGUGCCACAAUUCAACACUACAAG
rnacentral:pre_miRNA from 1 species